GAUGAAGAACGUAGCGAAAUGCGAUAAGUAGUAUGAAUUGCAGAAUUCAGUGAAUCAUCGAAUCUUUGAACGCACAUUGCGCCCCUUGGUAUUCCAUGGGGCAUGCCUGUUCGAGCGUCAUUUGUACCUUCAAGCUCUGCUUGGUGUUGGGUGUUUGUCUCGCCUCUGCGUGUAGACUCGCCUCAAAACAAUUGGCAGCCGGCGUAUUGAUUUCGGAGCGCAGUACAUCUCGCGCUUUGCACUCAUAACGACGACGUCCAAAAGUACAUUUUUACACUCUUGACCUCGGAUCAGGUAGGGAUACCCGCUGAACUUAAGCAUAUCAAUAAGCGGAGGA
rnacentral:misc_RNA from 1 species